CAAGAAAUAGUUUAAGAAAAAUUUCAGUUUUGGGAAUUGAAGAUAAAGAAUAUUUUUUUUCUUGA
rnacentral:tRNA from 1 species